GGUUAAGCGACUAAGCGUACACGGUGGAUGCCCUGGCAGUCAGAGGCGAUGAAGGACGUGCUAAUCUGCGAUAAGCGUCGGUAAGGUGAUAUGAACCGUUAUAACCGGCGAUUUCCGAAUGGGGAAACCCAGUGUGAUUCGUCACACUAUCAUUAACUGAAUCCAUAGGUUAAUGAGGCGAACCGGGGGAACUGAAACAUCUAAGUACCCCGAGGAAAAGAAAUCAACCGAGAUUCCCCCAGUAGCGGCGAGCGAACGGGGAGCAGCCCAGAGCCUGAAUCAGUGUGUGUGUUAGUGGAAGCGUCUGGAAAGGCGCGCGAUACAGGGUGACAGCCCCGUACACAAAAAUGCACAUGCUGUGAGCUCGAUGAGUAGGGCGGGACACGUGGUAUCCUGUCUGAAUAUGGGGGGACCAUCCUCCAAGGCUAAAUACUCCUGACUGACCGAUAGUGAACCAGUACCGUGAGGGAAAGGCGAAAAGAACCCCGGCGAGGGGAGUGAAAAAGAACCUGAAACCGUGUACGUACAAGCAGUGGGAGCACGCUUAGGCGUGUGACUGCGUACCUUUUGUAUAAUGGGUCAGCGACUUAUAUUCUGUAGCAAGGUUAACCGAAUAGGGGAGCCGAAGGGAAACCGAGUCUUAACUGGGCGUUAAGUUGCAGGGUAUAGACCCGAAACCCGGUGAUCUAGCCAUGGGCAGGUUGAAGGUUGGGUAACACUAACUGGAGGACCGAACCGACUAAUGUUGAAAAAUUAGCGGAUGACUUGUGGCUGGGGGUGAAAGGCCAAUCAAACCGGGAGAUAGCUGGUUCUCCCCGAAAGCUAUUUAGGUAGCGCCUCGUGAAUUCAUCUCCGGGGGUAGAGCACUGUUUCGGCAAGGGGGUCAUCCCGACUUACCAACCCGAUGCAAACUGCGAAUACCGGAGAAUGUUAUCACGGGAGACACACGGCGGGUGCUAACGUCCGUCGUGAAGAGGGAAACAACCCAGACCGCCAGCUAAGGUCCCAAAGUCAUGGUUAAGUGGGAAACGAUGUGGGAAGGCCCAGACAGCCAGGAUGUUGGCUUAGAAGCAGCCAUCAUUUAAAGAAAGCGUAAUAGCUCACUGGUCGAGUCGGCCUGCGCGGAAGAUGUAACGGGGCUAAACCAUGCACCGAAGCUGCGGCAGCGACGCUGAUGCGUUGUUGGGUAGGGGAGCGUUCUGUAAGCCUGCGAAGGUGUGCUGUGAGGCAUGCUGGAGGUAUCAGAAGUGCGAAUGCUGACAUAAGUAACGAUAAAGCGGGUGAAAAGCCCGCUCGCCGGAAGACCAAGGGUUCCUGUCCAACGUUAAUCGGGGCAGGGUGAGUCGACCCCUAAGGCGAGGCCGAAAGGCGUAGUCGAUGGGAAACAGGUUAAUAUUCCUGUACUUGGUGUUACUGCGAAGGGGGGACGGAGAAGGCUAUGUUGGCCGGGCGACGGUUGUCCCGGUUUAAGCGUGUAGGCUGGUUUUCCAGGCAAAUCCGGAAAAUCAAGGCUGAGGCGUGAUGACGAGGCACUACGGUGCUGAAGCAACAAAUGCCCUGCUUCCAGGAAAAGCCUCUAAGCAUCAGGUAACAUCAAAUCGUACCCCAAACCGACACAGGUGGUCAGGUAGAGAAUACCAAGGCGCUUGAGAGAACUCGGGUGAAGGAACUAGGCAAAAUGGUGCCGUAACUUCGGGAGAAGGCACGCUGAUAUGUAGGUGAAGUCCCUCGCGGAUGGAGCUGAAAUCAGUCGAAGAUACCAGCUGGCUGCAACUGUUUAUUAAAAACACAGCACUGUGCAAACACGAAAGUGGACGUAUACGGUGUGACGCCUGCCCGGUGCCGGAAGGUUAAUUGAUGGGGUUAGCGCAAGCGAAGCUCUUGAUCGAAGCCCCGGUAAACGGCGGCCGUAACUAUAACGGUCCUAAGGUAGCGAAAUUCCUUGUCGGGUAAGUUCCGACCUGCACGAAUGGCGUAAUGAUGGCCAGGCUGUCUCCACCCGAGACUCAGUGAAAUUGAACUCGCUGUGAAGAUGCAGUGUACCCGCGGCAAGACGGAAAGACCCCGUGAACCUUUACUAUAGCUUGACACUGAACAUUGAGCCUUGAUGUGUAGGAUAGGUGGGAGGCUUUGAAGUGUGGACGCCAGUCUGCAUGGAGCCGACCUUGAAAUACCACCCUUUAAUGUUUGAUGUUCUAACGUUGACCCGUAAUCCGGGUUGCGGACAGUGUCUGGUGGGUAGUUUGACUGGGGCGGUCUCCUCCUAAAGAGUAACGGAGGAGCACGAAGGUUGGCUAAUCCUGGUCGGACAUCAGGAGGUUAGUGCAAUGGCAUAAGCCAGCUUGACUGCGAGCGUGACGGCGCGAGCAGGUGCGAAAGCAGGUCAUAGUGAUCCGGUGGUUCUGAAUGGAAGGGCCAUCGCUCAACGGAUAAAAGGUACUCCGGGGAUAACAGGCUGAUACCGCCCAAGAGUUCAUAUCGACGGCGGUGUUUGGCACCUCGAUGUCGGCUCAUCACAUCCUGGGGCUGAAGUAGGUCCCAAGGGUAUGGCUGUUCGCCAUUUAAAGUGGUACGCGAGCUGGGUUUAGAACGUCGUGAGACAGUUCGGUCCCUAUCUGCCGUGGGCGCUGGAGAACUGAGGGGGGCUGCUCCUAGUACGAGAGGACCGGAGUGGACGCAUCACUGGUGUUCGGGUUGUCAUGCCAAUGGCACUGCCCGGUAGCUAAAUGCGGAAGAGAUAAGUGCUGAAAGCAUCUAAGCACGAAACUUGCCCCGAGAUGAGUUCUCCCUGACUCCUUGAGAGUCCUGAAGGAACGUUGAAGACGACGACGUUGAUAGGCCGGGUGUGUAAGCGCAGCGAUGCGUUGAGCUAACCGGUACUAAUGAACCGUGAGGCUUAACCUUACAACGCCGAAGCUGUUUUG
rnacentral:rRNA from 1 species